CCUUGAUUCAGCUCCAUUUAAACACAGCUGUACCAGGAAAAUUCUAUGCUUUGUCAGCAGUAGGGCAUCUAGUUUAUUUUCCUGUACUGUGACACUUAGUAUGGGACACCUGCACAAAGCCUGGCAAAUCUUUGAAGUGAGACUUCUUGUCCCCAUGCCUUGUCCAUGUCUGUGCUGGGCAGGGUCUCCAGGGGCUCAGGGAGGCCCACCCUGCUUUCAGGCCUCACCUUGGGGAUGGAGGUGGAACUGUGCUGCACUCCCCUAGACCUCCCAAUAGACAACAGAGGGAAAUAAGCACUUCCACAUGCUGGUUUGGAUCCCACAGAGGCUAUCAAGGGAGCAUGCAGUUCUUGCAUCCCAGUGGGAUCAGCCUGAGCCCUGGAUAAGUAUUUGCAGUGACUGCUUUGUGCUAGUGGGGCUUGUAGACAAAUGAAUAAACAAACAGUGCUCUCUUCCCAUCUUUGCUUUGCAAAAACGUAAGGGAAAAAACUUUCACACCCUUUGUUAGGACAUCAGUGCCAGAGGAAAGACACCAGCCAUUAUUCCAUUCACAUCUCCCGUUUUCAUUUCCAACUGUUUCUCUGGAUUCCCUUUUUUUCAAUUUCUUCCCCCCUCUUCAGCUGUUUGAGCAAUGGCCUGUUCUUACGAAACAAGUUUUCAGCUUCAUAACAGUCCUGACUUCUCACUGUCUGAAAGGCAAGAGGGUCACUGAGAAUGAACUGUCUCACACUAGAUGGUGUUUUUCCACAUGGAAAUGCUGAAGGGCCACUCUGUGCUGUCAGCCCAGAAAGGCCAGAAGAUGCCUUCAGACUCCCCAGGUGCCUCUGUGUUUGUUUUCUAAUGUUAUUCCACACACAAUAUCAUUAAUAUUAUGUCCAAAGCUUGUCUUUUUAAACAGAGUCAACACAUCUAACCUAUUAGUCAGCCACUGGGAAAAAGGAAAGGAUUAAGUCAACACUGUGAGGAAUUAACCCUUUUCAUUGCCCAGAGAAGAAAUCAAAGAGGAUACAACCUCCUUAAAUUGCAAAAGGGACUUGAUUGUUUUCUCUCACAAAGCAGUGGAAAUAUUUCCUCUCCCCUUGGCCCUCAGGUGUAAAGGGUGUCCUGCAGGAAUCGGACAGGACUGGUGACUUACAGGCCAUCGUUCCCUUUCCCGUGGUACACACCACUGAAGGGCAGGAAAUUUCCUCCCAGCCACCUUUCUCUUUUUUUGACUCUCCAUUUCCCUGUGGGCUGCCCCAGGUACUGGGCUGGGCUUGGCAGGCAGACACAGUCAGGAACAGGGGCGAGACUGCCCCGAGCGCAGUGUCCGGGCGCUGAGUGAGCGCCCAAUGGGCCGUAGCAAAGCGCACAACCAAGUCAAAGGAAAGUGGAAAGUAUUUCAUAAAAUUCAUCUUUGCAUCCCUUUUUCCUCUCUUGAUAUAUGGCCCCUCGUUCCCAGCUGCCCGGCCCGGCCCCGUGUAAAUAUGUCAGUGCACCAAUGAGACGGAACAGGGGCGCAGGAGCACCAGGGCUGCUCCCAGAUAAAACACCGAGCUGGAGCCCAGCAGUUUAUUGUAAAUAAAGAUCAAGGCAAAGCAGCAACAUUUCUGUUCGACUCAAGCCUGCCAAGGUUGCUAGUCCAGCUGCUUUCACGACUCCCAUAUGUCCACACGGAUUUCCCCUUCCACAGUGCCAUGUUACUCCUCUGACAGCUCCACAGCCUCCGCAAAGUUCCUCCACGCUCUCCAUGAGCUGCUUUCCAAGCACCUGGAGCACGGGGGGCACGGGGGGCAGGGGGUGCACGGGUGGGCAUGCAGGGGAGCACUGCUCUCCCAACUGCUCAGCUCCAGUACUGCUGAGCCUGAGCAGUCCCUCUGUGGGGCAGGGACAUGUUAAUGCUUGGUUUGGUUCUGCUCAGCAGAGGGCACUGGAUCCUGGAAAAGGGAGCUGAUGCUGGGGACCACAGGGGCCUGAUUGCUUUAGCAGAUGGACUGAUUUUUUUCCUUCUGGAUGCUGGUGGUAUGGAAGAGAAGUCUGCAGCUCUGUCUGCUGCUUGCUGAUUGACCAAGAGACAACCAUGGCAUGUGUUAGCAGGAGCCUGACACUGUCCCUCCAGCUCUGGUACUGUACAUCAUUAUCCUGAACACCACAAGGCAGAGAGGUAAGUAGAUGAUAAACUUGGCUGGAAGUUUUGUUCAGUAGCAAUUUCCCUUAACAGUUUUAAAGCGUGAUUUAAAUAUUUUUAUCAGUUCCUUGACAGGUUAAUGGGGUACAUGGACAGGAGACUUCUGCUUUAUCCCCUGCAGCCCUGACAAUUUGAGGUGUUGCCUGGCUCAGCUCCUAGAGGAAGGAAUAACUUGCACUUCUCUCCAGUGAUUUCCUGAUGCUCACUGGUGGAUGGCAGACAUGAUUCACUCCAGAAGGUACUGCUGAGUGCUCCCAGGUAUCUGAUCUGCCAAGGAAAGCUGGUAGCAUCAGCUCCCAUAAGAUCUCCCUCUCCUGAGGAGAGGCUGGUGUCAGCCCUGAGAGCUGACAUCGAACUGGGGAGUUUUGUUAGAAGCUGACUGAGAACGUGGUGCUGUUAUUAUCUGACACGGCUGAAACAAAAGCCAAACGUUGAUGAAUGUCUGAUCCUAAAAGUAAACAGUUUGAUUUUUUUUUUCCUUUGCGAGUCAGGGGCCCUCUAGGGUUUUAUCUGAUUUUGGCAAUCUCCUGCACAUUUUGGGGCCUGGAGCAUGGUUUUAAUUGUUACAUCACAAAAGUUGCCAAAUAAUGUUGGAUGCUCCUUAAAAACUCUCUCAAUUUUAUGGAACUUCUCAACGGCUUGACUAAUACAAUAAUUACUGGAACUCGGCUAUGUUGCCUAGUGGCAAAUGGAAUUUUUUCAUAAUGAUCCUGUCUGUCGUUAAUAGCAGGAUUUGUUCUUUCUCUCAGCGGGAGAGAGGCCAGAAAGCCACGGUAUCUGUCUUUUUUAAUGACAGCCAACAGCAAACGGAUAAAAUAAUCAAUUAUAUCCACAGAUAGGUAGAUAAAGUGUAAUUUAUCAUGUCAAAAACAAAAAUGUUUUUAAUUGGGCUGUUAAUCAUUUUGUAAUUUUAACUAAAGAGAUGGGGACUCUACUUUGUGUUCAGACAUCACUAAUAUUUCAUACAACAUUAGCAGAUCUUAUUAUAGCUUUAAUAAUAGUGUUUACCACUAACUGCCAAAAUACGAAAUGCGAUUUCUGCUCUCAUUAGCUGGAGCCUUUGCAGUUAUAAAAGGAUGCCCUUCCCUUCUAUUUUUCUUCUUCUGGAAAGACCCAGAAGAAAAAAAACAGGGUUCAGCAGACUGAUCAGCUGUAACAGAUUUUAAAAUAUGCUGAUCUUUAUGUUUGGUUAGCAGUACCCAUACUAGUUACCAACAAACAUGUUACAGAAAUUAUGAUAUUUUACUUUUUUUUGUUCUUUUUUAGAAAAAAAGCAUAUAAAGAGAUUAGUGUAACGCAGCAGAAAUUGGAAGCUUGGAGUUUUGGUUUCUAGCCACACCUGCGCUGUCUUGUGGGAAGCUGGGCAGAUCAUUUAAUCCCUCCUAACUUGUUCUCCAUGUCUGUUAUGUAGGUAUUAGAUGGCUGCAUCAUCAGGUUGCUGUAGAGUAUGGAGGUGUUGUAAGAUUCAUGUAAAUUUGUAAUAAAGAUGGCAAACAUCUGGAUGGCUGGUGCAAUAGCAGCCUCUCUGACAGCCACCUCUUUGAGGGAGGAAAUGGGUAGUUUAUGGCUGGACCUAAAUCUUCCCCACAUUAUAACUGAGAAUGUCUUCACAAUGCUGCCUGACUUCAGGAUCAGGGAGGAAUCCUGAGCAGGAAAACCUCUCAGCACUGGAGUGCUGUGGCUGUCCACACUUCUGUUAUUGCCAUGAGCAGAUGCCCUGUGUGGGACCAGAUCUCUAUUUUACCUAUAAGUUCUACAUUAAAAAAAUGCCAGUCAUGCUCAGAACAGAAAUGUUGGGACCCCUUUGCCUCAAACACACUGAAAUUACUUCCUUGUUCAGAAGUGUUUUGCAGAGGCAAAUUAAUCUCCGUUCCCCUCGACUUGUUUUCCCUCUGAAAAGCUCUACCUGCCUUAAAUGAAGGCACAGCCUCCAGAGGACCUGUCUGGGAGGAGAACAUGCACUCAAGGUAGUUUGGCCAGGGCAGAUUUCACUUGCAGUGUUAAGGUGGACAUUUUUGGCUGUGGCUUUGAUUUUAUGUCCACAGCAUCUCCCAGCAAUGCAUGGAAUACAGAGAGGGACAGCACUGCCCUUCCUGUCAUUGGAUCUUUCCUGGGAGUGAGGGAAAGUUAGUGGAUUGAGUGGAUUUUUUACAGGUCUGUGGCAGGAUUGAGGCUGUCUUCAUCCUGAGAAGCAGGGAGGGGAGGCUCUGGGGCUGGUUUGCCCGAGCAUAAAUAAAUUGGAGGUGCACGAACAUUCAGAAAAUUCCCAGAGAGUCACGUUGCACAAGUUAAUGGGCCUGGUGCCUUCACCUGUGCCAAUUUUAUGUGACUCUUAACUCUGGUGUUAAAUAAAAAUGAGGCUUGCUCUAAUGACAUCAACAGCCUUCAGUGCAGAAAGUAUGCUGCUACUUUGAUACAGAUCCCCUUUUAAGGAGGACACAGGAGACAGCCAAGGCUUUUUUCCCAUCUGUUGGGUGAAUGUAACGAUCCCCUGCUCAGAAGUGUGGUCUCAACAACACUCCUCCGCUCUCAGCAUCACACUGGAUGAUUUCAUUAAGAACAUGGUUAUCUGGUGCCCCUGCUUUUGCCACCUCGAUUUUACUCUCCCUCUCCAUUACAUGAAAGGAUGGAAAAGGGGGACAUGAGUUGGCUGGGGGAGGAGAGAAAAUAGCAUGAGGAGGGGGUUAAAAGAACCAGCUGUUAUGUGUGAGGUAUCUGCUUUCUAAUUGCUUCUGUUGGAAUUCAGGGGGAAAAGGCACUGGCUUCAGUUAAUUAAUAAGGCAGGACUCACAUAAACUCCAGCUGUGAGCACAGGACUGGUCUUUAAAGGAUAAGCCCAGGAGGUGGGGCAGGGAGUUUGAUUUCCUCACACUAAAUCCCAUCACAUGCUGUUGGUAGUGUGUGUGUCCACUUAAGCCUUUUGGUUGGCCUGUCUGAACCAGACAGGAGGUGUCUGUUGCUGUCCACGUGCCUCACUCCAAGAAAAAUGAUCUGUCCUCAGAAAUCAAAGAUGUGAGGCUGUGUUUCAGGCUGGGGUGAAACUGCUGUGUUUUCACUCCAGUUUGGAAUCCCUAAAAAGUGGGUAUGUUUGGAUCAAAGAUUUUUGUUCAGAAUUAACAAAAGCAUGGGCUUUUGCAGCUGGACCCAGAUACAGGUUUGCCCUUUGGUCCUCUUUUCUGUCAGAGGGUUUGGAUUUGGCAUCCUGUCAACAUCUCUCUCUUCAAGGGUAGCACUGGUGGGGUGGUUGUGCAGCUGAUGCCUCCAGACCAUGUCCAAAGGCCAUUUUACAGUGAUCCCUUUGAGAGGAACAAUGCACAGUUCAUUUCUCUUUUUUUGAGAGGGGCUCAAAAAGAUCAGGACUUUUCCUGAGUUACAGGAAAAGUUACAGACAAUGCCCCUAAAACCCAUAUGAACAUGCAAAUGCCACAGUGUUUUCUCAUUUGGUCCUGUUCCAGGUCUUGCUGCCACAAGACAUCCCCCACCACCAAUGCAAGGUCUUUCUGGUCUGAGAACAGCUUGGGGUCUACGCUGAGACCAAAGUUUUCUUUCACUUCCCAUGGGAUGGCAUCUCUGGGUUUCAAAGCUUGUUGUUUAAGUGUGUUAUGUUAGGAAACAGCAGAAUCAGAAAAAAAAAGGUGGAUGUUCCUAUGUAGUUAAGAGCCUGUUUUUCCUCAGUGGUUGUGGAGGGAAAUGAGCUUCCUGCCUAAGGUGAGAUGUCAUUUGCUGGAUGGAAACCUUUGUGUCCCCGCUGGCCCGAUCCCUUCGGUGCCACUGCUCAGGGCAGGUCUCUUCCAGGGGGAUGGCUCUCCCUCCCUGGCCCUCUCCUGUCCUGGCACCAUGCUCUUACCUUGCAUCAGCCCUGAUGCUCCUCAGCUGAGUGCUGGGGUCAGCACAAGGGAGGGGACAUGGCCAUGGGGCUGCAGAUGGGUUGGGGAAGGAGGAGCACUCCUUUUGGCACAGAGGGCCCAGCUCACCGUGCCCUUCCUCAGGGAACCUCACAGCCCGAGCAUCCCGGAGGAUUCUGCUGUUUCACUGCCCCUGAUUUCAGUGACAGCUCAGCCUGGUGUGAGACUAAACACCCAGGUACAUGAUUAGCCCCAGUCCCCUGAGCUGGACUUCCCACCCAGAGAGAAAACCAGCUCUGGGGUGUUACAGCAUGGUUCCAAGUGAGCGAGGUGGGGCCUCGCUUUGCAAAGCUCUAGAAACAGCAGCUCUUUGUCUCCUCCAUGUCUCCUCACCCUGAACGUGUUGCUGUUUUCAGAGGUUGGUUUCAAAGUGCUGAUUCACAGCCACCAGCCCUAUUGUUUUAUCUGAGGAGAUUAGGGCUGAGAAUGUUGCAGUUUUGUAGUGAAAACACUCCAUUGGAAAUAGCAGCAUAGCUGACAUGAGACUGUUAUUUAUGCUCAAAUAACCAUCUCCCUUAAAGAUGAGGAGUCUCUUUUUUAUUCCUUUUCAAGUUUAGAUCAAUCAUGUAUGAAGACAAACUCCCACUCAGCCUCCCUUGGCCCCUAAUUUUUUCAUUUUGUUCUUCUUCUGCUCAUUAUUUUAUGAUUUUGUCCUUGACUGGAACAUUUCUCUCUUGUUCUUCCUUACAUGCACCAUUGAAGAGGGAAAGGACUUACAUAUAGAGCUCGAGACUUGUGUAGCUCUUCAGCCAUAAAUAACAUUUUAUACAGAUUCUAAGAUGAUUAAAUCCUUCUAGUUAGCCUCCCUCUUUCUUUUACGGCUCAUCUGGUUAGAGGAGACAUAUUCUUUUGAAACUUAACUAUUUCUGUUUCACUUUUGCAAGCAGACAUGAGGAGACAGGACCUGGCUGUAUGCACUGCUGAUCAGAACACUUGCCAUAGGAAUGCAGAACAGCUUGCCUGCAAGAGAACUGAUUGUUGGCGUGGAAGAAAAGCCCUAAAAUUCUGAGAUGCAGUCGAGUUCCUGAACACAGGCAAGUCUACAAUCGAAACUGAGAUCUGUUUAUCUGGGGAGAUAAAUGCUCUCAAAAUACGCUUUUCUGGAGAGGCUGACAGGCACAAAAUCAGGGAAGGGAAUGCUCUGGUAUGAGGACAGAGUUCUGCUCAGGCAGUAACUGAUGCUGGACAGCUGUAGGAACUGGCCCACUGGGCUCUGUGCUUUGCACCCCGUAACUCCAUACCCAGCUUCUUUUGAUACCAGGCUCGGGCUUCCUGGAGCCAGGCAUCAGCUUUUCCCUACAAAUGCAGCCAAAGCAGCUGCUGCACUUUGCAGAGAUCCUGAGACUGUAGUGCUGAGCUGCUCUUCCUUCUGCUUGCUGGGAUCUGCUCAGCUCAGGCAGUUCCUCGGGGGAACGGCCAGUGAGUCAGGCCUUGUUGGGGUUACACACUGUGGAGCUGAGCACAGAGAGCAGAAAUAGCCCCACCAAAGUGACUGAGAAGUGCUGAAAAGCCUCACAGUAGACAGCCUACACAAUGAAAUGAUCUCCUCCAAUUAGCCCAUGGUCAUCAGUGAGGCAAAUCCUCUGCCUCCUGGGCUGGGCAGGGUGGUUUUAAUGGUAGGCAUAAAUCUAUUGGGUUUUUGUCCUCAUGACCCAGCAUAUUCUGCCAGGGCAAUGCAGACUCCAGAGAAGGAAGAGAAUUUAUGUGUACAAUAAAACAACAGAGUUUCAGUGAUAUCAGCUGUUUGACGAACUUUAAUAUACAUUUGCUAUAAAACAGGCAGCAAUUACCAGAAUGUGAUACCCAAAUAAAAAUCCAUGAUCCAUUUGCACGACAGAUCUUCGAUUUACUCACAUUCAUGUGAAAGAGACACAUAAAAAUGAUAUCCAUGCUUAAAAUCACUUAGGAGCAGCCUGAAAGACCCCACAGUUGCAAGUGAUACUGCAGUGCUUAGCUAAUACUCAUGUUUCGAUGGCUUUGCCUUCAUGAUUCUUCCAGUGGUUCCUUUAUGUUUUCUGGGAUUUUGCCAAACACCUGUGAAUCAGUGCACAACAAAUAUUCCUCCCAUUUAAUUUAGCCUUGCACAGAAAGGCUAUAUUAGGCCUGAUGCAGACCUAAUCCCAAGCCUCUAAAGAGGUUUAAGGCACUCUGGUUUCACCUAAUCCCGAAACCUAAACCAGAAUCAUUGAAAACCUCCACAGCACCACAGGAAUGGGCAAAUAAAGAGUUUCCACUAUGAAAUUAUUAAAAGGACACAGUGUAUCUUUUGGAUUUGAGACCUAAAGCUCUGCCUAAGGAGCUUGGACUGUCCACAAUAAAAGUGUUUAUUUUGAAGGUAGGAGGUUGAAAGGUUUAUUUGACUAGAGGGCCGAUUUCACCCCUCCCACCCAAAAAAAGAAAAGGGGCGACCCCCCAGAAGAGUGGCAAAUGGGAAAGGGGAGGAAGAAGUGACAAGGCAGGGGCAGCCCAGCAAAGCAGUGAAGAAAGUGAAGCCCAGGUUUCAGUUUAAGCCUCAGUCAUGGUCCCUGUGAGAAAGAGCAAGAGCACAGCCCCUGGUGCACAGCUGGGGUCUUGGGUCCUGAAGUUCCUCACUGCAAACAUGUAAGGAAAGAGUUAUUUAUGAUGUAAGAAAUACAUUGCUGCUGUUCAAAAUGGAGAAUUUGCUCUUUUGAGAUCUCUUACUGAUGGGAGAUAACAUGUAAAAACGUGCUGCAAUGGAACUUUCAAAUACAAAUUGCAUCCAACUGUAAUAAAUUCGAUCUUGCAUUAAUUCAUGUUAAA